GUAUUUUUUGUCAAAUUUCAACUCGAUGUAUUUCCUCUCGAGUGAAAAGCUACCACCGGAGCUAUUCUUUCCGCCACCGUAACCAGAGUCAUCCCCGCCGCCGCCGCUUGGCUGUGGCUGGUGACGAACGUAUUUCCAUAUUUCGUGAUCCUAUGAUCAUUGAAAACAUAAGAUUCCGGGUAGGUUUCAGAUCAAAAUCCAGAAACAAGAAAUUAGUAGUACUCGGGAUUCGGGAAUCACCUGAGUCGUUCAGAAUCGGGGUUGAUUCUGGAACAGAGAAAGGCUUCGGCAGCUUCAAACAUGUGGUUCAUGGACAUGCCGUCUUUCUCCUCGAAGACGAGAGUGAGUUUGGAGGAUUUGGGUUUCCAGUAGAAUCGGACGGCGUCGACGACGUAUCGCCGGAGUUGUCUAGGGAAGAGCUGGUCAAACAUUGUACGGAAGAGCAUGAUUGAUGUUGACAUUGAGGCGUACGCCGACAGAAGCGACGACGGAGUGGGCAUCUCCGGAAAACUUCGAGACGCCAUUUUUGUCUGGUUUCGUAAAACAGAGGAAUGUGUGUGUUUUCUUUUUGAAAAGGGUAAAGAUCUUGUUAUAUCUACGAUGUUUUUUGUUUUA